rnacentral:rRNA from 1 species
AUUGAACGCUGGCGGCAUGCCUUACACAUGCAAGUCGAACGGCAGCACGGGUGCUUGCACCUGGUGGCGAGUGGCGAACGGGUGAGUAAUACAUCGGAACAUGUCCUGUAGUGGGGGAUAGCCCGGCGAAAGCCGGAUUAAUACCGCAUACGAUCUACGGAUGAAAGCGGGGGACCUUCGGGCCUCGCGCUAUAGGGGUGGCCGAUGGCUGAUUAGCUAGUUGGGGGGGUAAAGGCCUACCAAGGCGACGAUCAGUAGCUGGUCUGAGAGGACGACCAGCCACACUGGGACUGAGACACGGCCCAGACUCCUACGGGAGGCAGCAGUGGGGAAUUUUGGACAAUGGGCGAAAGCCUGAUCCAGCAAUGCCGCGUGUGUGAAGAAGGCCUUCGGGUUGUAAAGCACUUUUGUCCGGAAAGAAAUCCUUGGCCCUAAUACGGUCGGGGGAUGACGGUACCGGAAGAAUAAGCACCGGCUAACUACGUG